AACACAUGCAAGUCGAACGAUGAACACCGGAGCUUGCUCUGGUGGGAUUAGUGGCGAACGGGUGAGUAACACGUGAGCAAUCUGCCCCCGACUCUGGGAUAACCCCGAGAAAUCGGAGCUAAUACCGGAUACGACACCUCCUGGCAUCAGGUGGGUGUGGAAAGAAUUUCGGUUGGGGAUGAGCUCGCGGCCUAUCAGCUUGUUGGUGAGGUAAUGGCUCACCAAGGCGACGACGGGUAGCCGGCCUGAGAGGGUGACCGGCCACACUGGGACUGAGACACGGCCCAGACUCCUACGGGAGGCAGCAGUGGGGAAUAUUGCACAAUGGGCGCAAGCCUGAUGCAGCAACGCCGCGUGGGGGACGACGGCCUUCGGGUUGUAAACCUCUUUUGGCAGGGAAGAAGCGAAAGUGACGGUACCUGCAGAAAAAGCACCGGCUAACUACGUGCCAGCAGCCGCGGUAAUACGUAGGGUGCAAGCGUUGUCCGGAAUUAUUGGGCGUAAAGAGCUCGUAGGCGGUGUGUCACGUCUGCUGUGAAAAUCCAAGGCUCAACCUUGGACUUGCAGUGGGUACGGGCACACUCGAGUGCGGUAGGGGAGAUUGGAAUUCCUGGUGUAGCGGUGGAAUGCGCAGAUAUCAGGAGGAACACCGAUGGCGAAGGCAGAUCUCUGGGCCGUAACUGACGCUGAGGAGCGAAAGCGUGGGGAGCGAACAGGAUUAGAUACCCUGGUAGUCCACGCCGUAAACGGUGGGAACUAGAUGUGGGGUCCGUUCCACGGAUUCCGUGUCGCAGCUAACGCAUUAAGUUUCCCCGCCUGGGGAGUACGGCCGCAAGGCUAAAACUCAAGGAAUUGACGGGGGCCCGCACAGCGCGAGCAUGCGAUAUUCGAUGCACGCGAGAUCUACAGCUGACAUAUAGAGAAAGUGCAGAGAUGCACUCCCCGCAGUCUCUAUACAGUGUGCAUGAUGUCGUCAGCUCGUGUCUGAAAUGUGGAUAAGC
rnacentral:rRNA from 1 species